rnacentral:pre_miRNA from 1 species
UUAACUAAAAUUUGUAUGGAGUUGGAAUGUUUGCCUACGUUUGCCGCUAGGGGCGCUGUUCCAACUGCAUACAAAUCGGAGUUA